rnacentral:misc_RNA from 1 species
AUCUCCAUCCACCCAUCAGCUCUUGUUCGCGGUGACCUCACAACUGCACUAGUUUCCUCGCCCUCGGCUGGUAAACCAACAUUGCUUUCCUCUCCCUCGCUCUCGCUCUCAGGCAGUGGUUGAAAUGCCACCAACCUACGCCAACUUGGGAACCGAUAACGCCCAGUCCGCCUUCUCUGAACUGUGGCCGUGGCCUGCUGAGGAAGUAAGCAUACUUCAGAUUCAGAUACGUGGCUUCCCAACCUAACCGAUGCCUCUUGAUUCGGGUAGUUGAAGCUUCGUGAAUCAUGUGCAAGUUUGAAAAUAAGAUAGGCAGCAUAAUUUGUUCUUCGAGUGAGUACUUUACAGUCGAUCCUCCCAUGGAUCUCCAACCAGCAGACAUUCAAGAGCUCGGCAACCUCAGCAAAUCUGGAGCCGUCGAGCCGUCCCCACUUCCAGUAAUGGGGAGUGUCUCCCCAUAUAAUCACCAGUCCUCUCGCCGACAAAGUGUAACACUUACGACCGGUCAGCCUCUCCAGUGAAAAGCACAUCCUGCCUCCAUCAAUGAGGACAGGAUUGCAG